rnacentral:lncRNA from 1 species
GAUAUCAAGUUGGAAAUCGUAUUCCGCGUCCUCGCAAUAUCCUAAAAACCAAAAUUUUGAAACUAUAAGUUUCUAUUCACUUUUUAAGCUUAUAAACAUUGAGGUAUAUCUAAUAUACUACUAGUUCACUUUCCCUUAGAAAAAUUAAGAGUCCCUUAGGUUAAAACUUUGACAAAAGUAGAAGAAAUGUUUCCUAUAGUUUUCCUGGGAAUACUUUUCUUAUAAAAGGGUAACUAUUAUUAUUUUCUUGAAAUAAGUCGAUAAACCUCUUAAUAUCAAUGUUAGAAAGUUAUUUUGAACAUUUCUCUAAAGUUACGGCUUUUGCAAAAAUUAUCCCUAAAAACCAUUUUUCCUAAAAUAAGGUUUCUUGCCGAGCAAGUUUCCCAGGCUUUUCACCAAAAUUAGUAAAACUCGUAUUUUGGAACCUUUUCUAUAGUGAAGUAGCCAAGAGCAAUACUUAAAGAAAAGAAAAGGGAUAAAAUAAGACUUAGGGUUUUCAAAAGCUAUAGAACUUAUUUACUAAAGCUAUCAAGGCUAGUUUGAACUUAAGGAAAUUAUCGGGUUGGAAAGUUUUAGGCAAAACACUAGAUAUGGAGUUUUAUAAUAUAAUACUAGCUGGAAAAAUAUUUUUGAUAAUUUGAUCACAGCUACUCGAGUUCACAAGGUCGAUACAACUUCCACAGCUCCGAUUCCGUUUCGAAAUCAUAAUAUGGAUCAAAAUAUGGCAAAAAUCACAUAGCAAAUUACUAAGGCUUCGUCAAUCAUUAGCCCUAGAUUUCAACAAAUGCAUUUCUGAUAAAAAUAAAAUGAACGACCAAGGCUUCAUUAAUCAUUAGCACUUGGUUUCAGCAAGCUCAUCAUAAGCAAAUAAAAAUAAAAGUAAGGCCUCCAAGACAUUCCAGCAAUUAACUUUCAUCACCCUGUAGUACUUAUAAAAUCAUUCAAAUGGCCAAGGGCUUCAUCAAUCAUUAGCCCUUGACAAAAUCAAUUACUUCCAACCACAAUUUAAUCAAGAAUUUAAACCACAAGUAAGCUAAAAUCUCAAUCCAAAACCCAAUUUCAAUUUCACAAAGAAACAGGACAUUCCUACCAAAACAAUCUACUUCAAGGAUUUACAGACAGCAGUACACAUGGAGGAAAAAUGCGAAAUUUCUACCGGACAAAGGCCUAUGAUUCUAUUUUCAAAUGCCACUGACGGCGCCUUAAACAUAUUUUCCUACACCAAGAUAUAAACAUUUUAUUGAGACUGGUCAGGGACAUCCGAAAAUCUGAAAUUUCAAUUUUUCACUUGUGAAAACUCCUUUUUCUCUUUUAACACUAAAAUGUUUUUAUUCAAACCAUCCAUACACUUCUUAUAGAACUUCAAAACAACAUAUUCCAAGCAUUUCCACCCAUCAUGAUUCAAGGAACAAUUUAAAAAUCAAGUUAAGGUUCUAACUCACCCUUUGGCUAUCACUUAAGAAUUUCCAACAUGUAUACCCCAACAUUUUCUGGUUCCAUUUUCAAUUUAUCAAAUAUUUCAUUGAUAACCAACUUACACAACUUACAACUUACAACUCCUCUGUAUUUCAAAACCAUUAUAUUCCAAGGAAAAAAAUCCAGAAAUAGUUUAAAAUCCAAAAGAAAACAAACUGAAAAUUCUGAUCAAACCUCUCGGCUAUUCCAGAAUUUUUUCAGCACUUAGGUGUUUAUAAAUCCAAUUUUUUCUCGGCUAAAACAUGGUUUUAGAUACCCAAAUUAGUCAUGAAAAAACUUAUCUAGCUAAUUAAUAUUUCCCAUUCAAAAUUUAACUUAAACAACAGCUGCAAAUCCCCAAAUUUUCCAUAAAUUUUGUACAGCUAGCUUCGGACAAACAUGCAUGCAACAGAUUGCAUUUCUAUUUUAUUUUUCUGGUUUAAACUAACUAAUUAGCUGCAUGCAGAGCCUAAUUAACUUGUUAUUAACCAUCUAAUCAUGGUUAUAAGUUUAAACAACAACAUCAACAACAACAACAUCAACAACAACAACAACAAAAUCGAACCAAGUUAGGCUGCAAUAAUCCAGCUAAGCUCUCAGUAGUUUCUAUACUAGCACAUAUCAGAAAUUCUUUUCUUAAAAAUCUCAUCCGGAUGCCUAACCCCCACAUGCAAGUUCUUAGAUGACUUAACCUUAUUGUUAUUAGUUGGUUAAACACCAAAUUGAGCUCAGAUUAUCGCAGGAAGUCAGAAAGAAAAUUACAAAUUUAAGCCAGUUCCUCGGCAGAAAUUUUCUUAACCAAACCAGAAAUUUUCUCUGCUUUAACACAUCAUCCGAAUGCACAAUUCAACAUGCAUGGUCUAAAUCUUCAAGUCUUCACUCAGCUAAAGGCACUUAGGUGUUCAGAUGCCACUGAAAAACACAAAUGGAGUUGCAUUAUCUCCUCAAAUUCUCGGUAGCAACAUUUUGACAAAACCGAAUUUUUUUUUCUAAUGGUUGGAUUUCAACAUCCGACUGCAUAAUCUGAACAUGCAAGCUUAGAUGUAGCUUGCUCAACUAAUAAUCAUCCUACUUAGACCAGAAAUUACCUCAGAUAGCAGCUAAUCCUUCACACGAAAUAUUCCAGAAAUUUCUUCCCUAGCUCUCGGCCAAGUGCAAUCGGUGGAUCCUGGCUCCUAAGUUGCGGCUGGAAUUGGUUGUGGCUGGUGGAUUUGAGGUCGGUUGGUUGGAGUUGGUGGGGAUGAAGGUGCAAAAUGGUGAAGCUUCCUGCAAAUCUCCUCCCUGGCUUCACUCCAACUCACGGCAGGACCAGAAAAUUUCUGGCAGCUCAC